UACGUAGGGUCCGAGCGUUGUCCGGAAUUAUUGGGCGUAAAGGGCUCGUAGGCGGUUCGUCACGUCGGGAGUGAAAACUCGGAGCUUAACUCCGAGCCUGCUUCCGAUACGGGCAGACUAGAGGUAGGCAGGGGAGAGCGGAACUCCUGGUGUAGCGGUGGAAUGCGCAGAUAUCAGGAAGAACACCGGUGGCGAAGGCGGCUCUCUGGGCCUUACCUGACGCUGAGGAGCGAAGCGUGGUAGCGAACAGG
rnacentral:rRNA from 1 species